rnacentral:rRNA from 1 species
GGCGCAGGCGGAGAUGUAAGCCAGACGUGAAAGCCCGGGGCUCAACCCCGGAAUUGCAUUUGGAACUACAUCUCUUGAGGAUAGGCGGAGAAAACGGAAUUCUGCAUGUAGCGGUGAAAUGCGUAGAUAUGCAGAAGAACACCGGUGGCGAAGGCGGUUUUCUAGCUUAUUCCUGACGCUGAGGCCCGAAAGCUAGGGGAGCGAACA